rnacentral:rRNA from 1 species
GAUUAACGCUGGCGGCGUGCAUAACACAUGCAAGUCGAACGAUGAAACUUUAAUGACCCCUUCGGGGAGAAUUAAAGCGGCUUAGUGGCGAACGGGUGAGUAACGCGUGAGUAACCUGCCUUACACAAGGGGAUAGCCUUUGGAAACGAAGAAUAAUACCCUAUAAAACCAUAAAAGCACAUGCAAUUAUGGUCAAAGUGAUAGCGGUGUAAGAUGGACUUGCGUCUGAUUAGCUAGUUGGUGAGAUAAAAGCCCACCAAGGCAACGAUCAGUAGCCGGAUUGAGAGAGUGUACCGCCACAUUGGGACUGAGACACGGCCCAGAAUCCUACGUGAGGCAGCAGUGGGGAAUUGUGCACAAUGGGGGAAACCCUGAUGCAGCGACGCCGCGUGAUUUAGAAGGCCUUCGGGUUGUAAAAAUCUUUUGUAUAGGAAGAAAAUGACAGUACUAUACGAAUAAGGUCCGGCUAAUUACGUG